GGAGGGAUGGCCGAGUGGUUGAAGGCGCACGCUUGGAAAGCGUGUUUACUCACGUAACGAGGGUUCGAAUCCCUCUCCCUCUU
rnacentral:tRNA from 1 species